rnacentral:rRNA from 1 species
UACGAAGGGGGCUAGCGUUGUUCGGAAUUACUGGGCGUAAAGCGCACGUAGGCGGACUACUAAGUCAGGGGUGAAAUCCCGGGGCUCAACCCCGGAACUGCCUUUGAUACUGAGAGUCUCGAGUCCGGAAGAGGUGAGUGGAAUUCCGAGUGUAGAGGUGAAAUUCGUAGAUAUUCGGAGGAACACCAGUGGCGAAGGCGGCUCACUGGUCCGGUACUGACGCUGAGACGCGAAAGCGUGGGGAGCGAACAGG